UACGUAGGGGGCAAGCGUUGUCCGGAUUUAUUGGGCGUAAAGAGCGUGUAGGCGGCCAGAUAGGUCUGUUGUGAAAACUCGAGGCUCAACCUCGAGACGCCGAUGGAAACCAUUUGGCUAGAGUCCGGAAGAGGAGAGUGGAAUUCCUGGUGUAGCGGUGAAAUGCGCAGAUAUCAGGAGGAACACCGAUGGCGAAGGCAGAUCUCUGGGCCGUAACUGACGCUGAGGAGCGAAAGCGUGGGGAGCGAACAGG
rnacentral:rRNA from 1 species